rnacentral:rRNA from 1 species
CAGCCGCCACGGGAAUACGUAGGGUGCAAGCGUUAAUCGGAAUUACUGGGCGUAAAGCGUGCGCAGGCGGUUAUAUAAGUCAGAUGUGAAAUCCCCGGGCUCAACCUGGGAACUGCAUUUGAGACUGUAUGGCUAGAGUGUGUCAGAGGAUGGUGGAAUUCCCGGUGUAGCGGUGAAAUGCGUAGAGAUCGGGAGGAACAUCAGUGGCGAAGGCGGCCAUCUGGGACAACACUGACGCUGAGGCACGAAAGCGUGGGGAGCAAACAGGAUUAGAUACCCGUGUAGUCCCUGUCUCUUAUAC